rnacentral:rRNA from 1 species
CCCUUAGAUGUUCUGGGCCGCACGCGUGCUACACUGAGUAAUUCAAUGGGUAAGGGAACGCUAGAGCAUUACCUAAUCUUGAAAUUUGCUCGUGAUGGGGAUCGACGGUUGCAAUUUUCCGUCGUGAACGAGGAAUACCUUGUAGGCGCAUGUCAUCAUCAUGCGCCGAAUACGUCCCUGCCCUUUGUACACACCGCCCGUCGCUCCUACCGAUUGAGUGAUCCGGUGAGGCUCUGGGACCUGGACGGAAAGAGCGUUUCGCUUGUUCUGUUUGGGAAACUUGGUCGAACCUUAUCAUUUAGAGGAAGGAGAAGUCGUGACA